rnacentral:lncRNA from 1 species
AUGUAGGGAACUAGAGAGAAAAAGGAGAGAGAGGAGAGAGAGGGAGAUAGAAGAGAGGAGAGAGAGAUUUGAAACCCAUCUCACACCCUAAAUGUGGGCAGGCUUGCAGACAGAUAUCUUGGAACUACGAGGCUUUUCUUCUGGAAAAAUGUCCAACUGUAGCAGACAGAAAGGAAGCCAAGAGAGGGUGUUUACAGCAAGGAGGGGCUAUGAAAUAUCUUCACUCCAGGUUCUUUACGAGCUGCAGUGUAUCAUUUUUAUCAGUAAUUGGAAGCAUGCUGCAUGUUUGACUCUGUGGACUCCUGCUUUACACAACAGAACAUUCCGAUGGUGUGCAUGUGCCAUACCCUGCCGUAACAAAUCUCAGCUGGUCCUCUGCUGUCCUCUGGGGAGAAUGCAUUUGAACUCAUCUCAAAGAGCUGGUUUUCUACCCUGGAGGUCUCCGAUGGCUACUGCGAGAAGAAAGCCAUGUCCCGAAAGCAGUGAUACAGAUUGGCAGCCACUGCAGAGAUGCAGAAUGUCGAAGAGUGUGUGUGUUGGAAUUCCUGGACAGACACUGCUCUGAAAGAAAAGCCCUCUGGUUUUGGAAGUCUGGUUGGGCAAGGCAGGCGGAGGUCAUGGAGGGGCCGGCGUGAUGGAAUCCUCGGUGCAGCUGACUGCGCAGCCCGACACUGGCGUGGACACUGGGAUGCGUCAUGCAACAUCCAACCAGAGCACACUCACGAGGACAAACAUGGGCCCACCUAUUUACCAUCAGAAAAACAAAAUCACGCUCUUUCACUUUGAAAGAAGGGGGAAACUGGAAAGUUAUUAUUUGAAAUAAAAUGGAAUUUUAGGAUAAUUAUUUUCUUUAAUAUCCCUUUUAUUUCCCUGUUUUUCAUUUGAAUUCUGGUCUAUCCCGCAUACAAAGAAAUUGGCAUUCUCUGCCACCAAUCAACAUUUGAGUAUUUGGCAAAGUUAUGAUUUCA